AAUUGAGACUGACAGACCCAAAUAACCAAUAGCAAGUACCUGAUGAGUGAGAGAAAAAAAAUCUAAAAAAGAAGGAACAAGACAAAACAACUCAUACUUUGACUGAACACAGGCAUCUCCUGUACAAGUUGUCUGACCAUCUUGUGGAGCAAACUACAGACAUUUUCCACUGACUUGAUACAGAAGAGUUUUCAAAAUGCCACUAAAACCCUUUGUUAAAGUAGUGAGUAACUUGUUGUCCAAAAAAAAUGCCAUCACCUCGGUUCCAAUGAGCUUUUUGUUAGUAGGUUUGCAGGCGCUGAUUAAUGUGCAUUUCUCAUGCCCUUGCAAAUAUGUUUGGAAUGUAACUUUAUCCAUUUUUGUCCUCGUUGUUCCUGCUUUUUUUGCUUUUGUCAUAAUGCUUAUGCUACUAAAACCUUGGAAAUAUAAGCAUAUAUACACAACCUGUAGCUGUUGUCAAAAAUCUAAAUGUGGAGGAAGUUCUAAGAAAAACGACAACAGAUGUCAAGAACAAGAGAAAAAAGGGCAGAAUGAAAGUGGAGAAACUCGGUCACAAACCAAGGAGAGCUGUGAAUGGGUUUUGUUGGCUUGUCUGAUUCCGCCUGUCGUGUGGAUCUGCAUAUAUUUCAUUGAUGGUGACUAUGUUGCAUGUGCUGCGUCGAAAUGGAAUGGACGGUAUGCCUGUGAUAAAGAACUGCAUCCGCUUUGUUUGAAUUGGUGCAAACCUAAUGAAGAAGAAAGUGAAAUCAAAUACUACGAAAAAACACUGGAAGCUAUCCGUGCAUCAAAGAUAUGCGGUUAUGUCAUUGCCUUGACCUGCUGCAUUGUAGCAAUGGGAUGUGUUGUACAUUGGAAGGACUGCUGCUGUUCAGCCACCAAAAGUCCAGAAAGUAAAGAUGAUGGAGAGGAAACGCAUGAUCUGUUGAGAAAGCCAGACAAGAAACAAGGAGAAGAACAUGAGAUGGACCAGUUUAAAGAUGAGGACUCAACAAAGAGACAUUCAAAUCAGGAUGAUAAAACAGAGUAGAUGGUAAAGUAAAGAUCAAAUCCAAUGGUCUGCUUGUUAAUUUGCUAUAUCUGAAACUCUUGCUCUCACUUUCUCAUAUUAUCCUUUAAAAUGUUAAUAGUUAUUGCAUACUUUGUGUUUGCUUGUAAUCUUGCUUGUAUCAUUGCAGAUUAAGUAAAACAUCAUUUAUGGUAUGAGUUUUGUAAAAUAGUAGUUUUAUUGAGGAUAUCUUUGAUUAUCCUGGCUUACUAUUUUGGUGUUUUGGUUUUGCCUUAGCAUGUAUAUAUUUUCUUUUUUCUAGUAUGCUUGGAUGUUUUGCUAUUCAGAGUAAAAGUGAAAGCAUUAACCA